rnacentral:tRNA from 1 species
CAAAUUAAAGCUUAAAUUAAGCAUUUUAUUUACACUAAAGAGAUUAUUGUGGAAUUCAAUAUAGUUUG